UGGGGAAUAUUGCACAAUGGGCGAAAGCCUGAUGCAGCAACGCCGCGUGAGGGACGACGGCCUUCGGUUGUAAACCUCUUUUAGCAAGGAAGAAGCGAAAGUGACGGUACUUGCAGAAAAAGCGCCGGCUAACUACGUGCCAGCAGCCGCGGUAAUACGUAGGGCGCAAGCGUUAUCCGGAAUUAUUGGGCGUAAAGAGCUCGUAGGCGGUUUGUCGCGUCUGCUGUGAAAAACCCGAGGCUCAACCUCGGGCCUGCAGUGGGUACGGGCAGACUAGAGUGCGGUAGGGGAGAUUGGAACUCCUGGUGUAGCGGUGGAAUGCGCAGAUAUCAGGAAGAACACCGAUGGCGAAGGCAGAUCUCUGGGCCGUAACUGACGCUGAGGAGCGAAAAGGGUGGGGAGCAAAACAGGCUUAGAUACCCUGGUAGUCCACCCCGUAAACGUUGGGAACUAGUUGUGGGGUCCAUUCCACGGAUUCCGUGACGCAGCUAACGCAUUAAGUUCCCCGCCUGGGGAGUACGGCCGC
rnacentral:rRNA from 1 species